rnacentral:rRNA from 1 species
AGGGCACCACCAGGAGUGGAGCCUGCGGCUUAAUUUGACUCAACACGGGAAAACUCACCCGGCCCGGACACUGGAAGGAUUGACAGAUUGAGAGCUCUUUCUUGAUUCAGUGGGUGGUGGUGCAUGGCCGUUCUUAGUUGGUGGAGUGAUUUGUCUGGUUAAUUCCGAUAACGAACGAGACUCUAGCCUACUAAAUAGAUCGUCGGCUUACAAACGCCGGCGAGACUUCUUAGAGGGACAGGCGGUGAUUCAACCGCACGAAACAGAGCAAUAACAGGUCUGUGAUGCCCUUAGAUGUCCGGGGCCGCACGCGCGCUACACUGAAGUGAUCAGCGUGCUUUUUCAACCUACUCUGUCAAGAGUGGGGAACCCAAUGAACCUUCUUCGUGAUUGGGAUAGGGGAUUGUAAUUAUUCCCCCUGAACGAGGAAUUCCCAGUAAGCGCGAGUCAUAAGCUCGCGUUGAUUACGUCCCUGCCCUUUGUACACACCGCCCGUCGCUACUACCGAUUGAAUGUUUU